AUCCCUGGAAGUGUUCCAGGCCAGGUGGGAUGGGGCUUGGAGCAACCUGGCACAGUGGAAGGUGUCACCAAGGGUUGGAUCUGGAUGAUCUUUCAGGUUCCUUCCAUUCCCUGUGGGUCCUGAGGAUCAGAAGCAGCGGAAGCGUUGAAGAUGGGGCGAGGCCACACGUCAGCGAAGAAGGACAUUCCCAAAGCAUCUAGGAGCUCGUGAGGCAGCUUGGCAGGGAGAGUGGCAGGAUUUCAGCUGGAGCUGGGACACUUGUGACCUCACAGGGAGCACAGCAGGACGGUGCCAGCCACCACGGCCACCAGACCCAGCGCUGCAGAGCUGCUCCUCGCCCUGUUGGCGCUCUUGGUCUCGUCGCUGCACAGCAGCUCUCAAAAACCCCGGUGUGAGCGCUGCCCACCCACAGCCAGCAGACACCGAGGGUGCGGAUUUUCCAAAGUCCUGCUGGUGUGGCCGGAUGAUAAAACCCAGCCUGGUUUGAGAUUUUCUAUCCUACCCUCCUUCCACCUGCUGAAAAACAUCCUGAAAGCGCCCAGUGCCAUCUACUGGUAAAAAUUCACGCCGAUGCUGUUUUUUCUUUUUUUUUUUUUUUGUUCCCGUUCUGCUGUCAGAAGAACCUCUGGGGUUUUGUGAUAAGCGUAAAUAUUUUUGAAGGCGUUUGUUUGAACACCUGACUUCAGAAGGAAUUUUUAAGGCAUUCUGCUCCUCGUAGCAGCCCCUUUGGAAAAAUUCAGCUGCGGGGUAGAGUCUUACACAGUGCAAAACUUUUCUUUGUCUCUUUGCAGAAGUAAAAAGGAUAUCUAUAUAUUAUUUUUUAUGGGAAUAUUUCAAUGUUCUUGUGGCCAUACAGUGGUGGAGCCACUCCUGUUUAUCCCAGCUCAGGACAUCACUAAAUCCCUUCCCAAUGAUCCACGAGAGGCUGUUUUAUAUUUUAACAGAGGUAACACAUUAACAACAACCAUUUGGAUGUCUGUGGAUGUGUAGGGUGGAUGGAGCAGUUCUGGCUUCAGGCACUCAGGAAAUUACCCUGCAACCCCCUUGGGGUGAGGUGGUUUCCAUUUACAAACCUCAACAUUUUCCUGGAUGAGCUGGGAAGCACCUUGGAGGAUUUAAUCCCGGUUAAAAGCAGGUUUAAGGAAGGAAAACCCCAACCCUCUCAUCUUUCACUGAGUCUGGGUGGGGCGUUUGAAGGACAUGGGUCUUGUGGGAGGGUUGCAUGGAAGGGGAAAGCCCAAAUCCUUAAGGACUGGGACAGGAGAACUGAACUGGGACAGCUCUGAGUCCUGAUCUGAGCCAAUAAUUCCCUGUUCCUCACUGUCCAACAGGACCUGCUAUUCCUUUCUGUCAAGCCUUGGGAAUAUGAGGGGUCACAGACACAUCCCUCAGCCACAAAGGGGUGCCUAGACCAGCUGCUUCCCCCUGGAUUUUCCCAAAAAAAUUAAUUUCUGCCUGGUUUCAACUCUGAAGCAAAUGGUGUUGAUAACUCUGUUAUCAAGGGGGGAAAAGAUCAAAUCCCAGCACUGGAGGACAAGGGUGAUGUUGCAGGAGCUGGGCCUGAGCAGGCUCAGCAGCCUGAAGAAGAGGGAUUUAGAGGGAUCUGUUCCCUGGGGAACACUGUUCCCAUAAAAAUCUUCGAGACCUUGGGUGGUUUCUCAGAAAUUCCAUUAAAUCCAAGGCAGUGCUGCAGAUGGAGGUGUUUGAUCCCUGCCCAGGCUGCCUUUCCUUUGAGAUCUUCCAGGCUCUCAUGGAAACAGCCUGGGGAUCCCUGGGGCCCGUGGACUGUGGGUCAAACCCCUCUUUGGGGUUGGUGCCAUCCCUGGAAUGCCUGUUCCAGGCAGGGAUGCAGCUCCAGUUGGUCCCAUCUGCACGGAGGAAGGGACACAGCGAUGGCCAAACCCUGCUGCCAGCUUGCCCAAGAUCCAGAUCUGUCCCAGACCCAGGGGGAUUUCCCAUUUCCACCUGAAAUAAGGGAAAACCCCGGAGCUGGGGGUUUAAUAAAACUUCCCAGUAUCCUUGGGGUUAUUUCUCAUACCCCCACGCUGAUCUGUAUUGAAGUUUCACCUUCUGGCUUUCAGCACUUCCAGCAGCCAGCUGGGAGGUUUUAGGGAUGUCAGGAGCUCGGAAUGAACAUAUCCCACCCCAUUCCUGAAGGGACAGCUCAAGCUCUUGGAGGACCCAGGCUGGUCCUGCCCUGUGCCUUGUGGCUGUCCCCUCCAUCCCUGGAUGUGGGUGACAGGUACCCAAAGGACGUGCAUUGCUCCCAGUCAGGCAUCACAGCUCUUCCCACCAGGAAUGCAUCUCCCCUUUUCCAUUUCACCCUCCCCUCUGACAUCCUUCAACACAAAAGGCAUCAUUUCCCCUUCCCAGGUUUUUCCCCUCCCUCC